rnacentral:rRNA from 1 species
UACAGAGGGGGCAAGCGUUAUUCGGAAUUAUUGGGCGUAAAGGGCGCGUAGGCGGCUUGGCAAGUGGAUGGUGAAAUCCCUCGGCUUAACCGAGGAACUGCCGUCCAAACUGCUUCGCUUGAGACCGGGAGAGGUGAGUGGAAUUCCCAGUGUAGCGGUGAAAUGCGUAGAUAUUGGGAGGAACACCAGUGGCGAAGGCGGCUCACUGGACCGGUACUGACACUCAACUACGAAAGCGUGGGGAGCAAACAGG